UACGGGGGGGGCAAGCGUUGUUCGGAAUUACUGGGCGUAAAGGGCUCGUAGGCGGCCAACUAAGUCAGACGUGAAAUCCCCAGGCUCAACCUGGGAACUGCGUCUGAUACUGGAUGGCUUGAAUCCGGGAGAGGGAUGCAGAAUUCCCAGUGUAGAGGUGAAAUUCGUAGAUAUUGGGAAGAACACCGGUGGCGAAGGCGGCCAUCUGGACCGCAACUGACGCUGAGGCGCGAAAGCGUGGGGAGCAAACAGG
rnacentral:rRNA from 1 species